CCUUCUGGAGUCAGGAACAAAAAUGAGCAUUCCUUUCUCCAGCCCAGGAGAGAGCUGGCACCUAUCACCAACCUGCACAGGGAACGCCCUGGGAGCAGAGGCAAAGAAGAGGACGUCGAUCAGGUCAGAGGCUGGGCCACCACGGUACUGCUUGAGUGCAGUUAGAGCUCUGCCAAAGAAGGGGAAAUCCAGGUUACAGACACAGCAGGAAUUCUUUGGAGACUCCCAAGUGCCCAGAGACAAGCUCAAGGAGCUGUUCACUCCUUCUGCCAGGAUGGAAAAGGCCCUACACAGAACGCAGAGCGUUCCAGAGGUGAUGCAAUAGGACCAAAACACAGCCUGAAGAGGGAAAGGGAAGACCAGGACCAGC